rnacentral:rRNA from 1 species
UACGUAGGGGGCAAGCGUUGUCCGGAUUUAUUGGGCGUAAAGAGCGUGUAGGCGGCCAGGUAGGUCAGCUGUGAAAACUCGAGGCUCAACCUCGAGACGUCGGUUGAAACCACCUGGCUAGAGUCCGGAAGAGGAGAGUGGAAUUCCUGGUGUAGCGGUGAAAUGCGCAGAUAUCAGGAAGAACACCCGUGGCGAAGGAGGCUCUCUGGGACGGUACUGACGCUGAGACGCGAAAGCGUGGGGAGCGAACAGG